rnacentral:rRNA from 1 species
GACGAACGCUGGCGGCGUGCUUAACACAUGCAAGUCGAACGGAAAGGCCCCGUUGGGGGUACUCGUGUGGCGCACGGGGGAGUAAAACGUGAGUAACCUUCCCUUGACUUCGGGGAAACCGUCGGAAACUGGGGCCAAAACCGGCAAGGAAUCCUUGCUGCAUGGUGGGGGUUGGAAGGCUUCAGCGGUUUUGGAUGGGCUUGCGGCUUAUAAGCUAGUUGGUGGGGUAGUGGCUUACCAAGGCGAUGACGGGUAGCUGGACUGAGAGGACGACCGGCCACCUUGGGACUGACGUGCGGCCCAGGCUCCGACUGGUGGCAGAUGUGGGGAAUACUGCACCAUGGGCGGCAGCCGGAUGAAGCAACGCCGCGUGCGGGAUAGCGGCCUUCGGGUUGUAAACCGCUUUCAGCAGGAGCGAUGCUUGUGGUGACGGUACCUGCAGAAGAAGCACCGGCUAACUUCGUG